rnacentral:misc_RNA from 1 species
AACAACACCAGCUGAUGUUGACCUACAAACAAACAACACCAAUUUAAUAAGUACCCAUGCAAAAAAACUAAUUUUCACUAAACAAAGACAAUCAACAGCAAUCACUAUUAUACAGGCAACGAAAGAGUAUGGUUGUCAGUGAAACAACAGCAAAAAGGUUGGAAAAUCCCUGAAUUUGCUAGAAAAGGAACCGAGUUGCAAUGAAAAUGUUCACAUGUAGCAAAUACCAUAUGCUAAAACAUAUAAAUUUCGAGGUUAUUCAAAAGUGACCUGCAUGGCACCAGAGAUAAACAGGAGAAAAAACAUAGCCAACAGUUUUCGUUUUUCUUUUGGAAUAAAUAUGCAGAACACACUAAAGAAUCAAGAGGGU